rnacentral:rRNA from 1 species
CACGGCCUAACACAUGCAAGUCGAACGAGACCUUCGGGUCUAGUGGCGCACGGGUGCGUAACGCGUGGGAAUCUGCCCUGGGGUACGGAAUAACUCAGAGAAAUUUGAGCUAAUACCGUAUGAUGACGUAAGUCCAAAGAUUUAUCGCCCUGGGAUGAGCCCGCGUAGGAUUAGCUAGUUGGUGGGGUAAAGGCCUACCAAGGCGACGAUCCUUAGCUGGUCUGAGAGGAUGAUCAGCCACACUGGGACUGAGACACGGCCCAGACUCCUACGGGAGGCAGCAGUGGGGAAUAUUGGACAAUGGGCGAAAGCCUGAUCCAGCAAUGCCGCGUGAGUGAUGAAGGCCUUAGGGUUGUAAAGCUCUUUUACCCGGGAAGAUAAUGACUGUACCGGGAGAAUAAGCCCCGGCUAACUCCGUGCCAGCAGCCGCGGUAAU